AUUGAACGCUGGCGGCAGGCCUAACACAUGCAAGUCGAACGAGUGGCGGACGGGUGAGUAAUGUCUGGGAAACUGCCCGAUGGAGGGGGAUAACUACUGGAAACGGUAGCUAAUACCGCAUACCAUCGGAUGUGCCCAGAUGGGAUUAGCUAGUUGGUGGGGUAACGGCUCACCAAGGCGACGAUGCAUAGCCGGCCUGAGAGGGUGAUCAGCCACACUGGGACUGAGACACGGCCCAGACUCCUACGGGAGGCAGCAGUGGGGAAUAUUGGACAAUGGGGGAAACCCUGAUCCAGCCAUGCCGCGUGUGCGAAGAAGGCCUGCGGGUUGUAAAGCACUUUUAGCAGGAAAGCGGUACCUGCAGAAUAAGCACCGGCUAACUACGUGCCAGCAGCCGCGGUAAUAC
rnacentral:rRNA from 1 species